AUUGAACGCUGGCGGCAGGCCUAACACAUGCAAGUCGAGCGGAGCGGCGGACGGGUGAGUAAUGCCUAGGAAUCUGCCUGGUAGUGGGGGAUAACGUCCGGAAUCGGGCGCUAAUACCGCAUACUAUCAGAUGAGCCUAGGUCGGUUUAGCUCGUUGGUGGGGUAAAGGCCUACCAAGGCGAAGAUCCGUAACUGGUCUGAGAGGCUGAUCAGUCAAACGGGAACUGAGACACGGUCCAGAGUCCUACGCGAGGAAGCAGGGGGGAAUAUUGGACAAUGGGCGAAAGCCUGAUACAGGCAUGCCGCGUGUGUGAAGAAGGUCUUCGGAUUGUAAAGCUCUUUAAGUUUGGAGGCGUUACCAACAGAAUAAGCACCGGCUAACUUCGUGCCAGCAGCCGCGGUAAUUC
rnacentral:rRNA from 1 species